UACGUAGGGGGCGAGCGUUGUCCGGAUUUAUUGGGCGUAAAGAGCGUGUAGGCGGCCAGGUAGGUCUGCUGUGAAAACUCGAGGCUCAACCUCGAGACGUCGGCGGAAACCAUCUGGCUAGAGUCCGGAAGAGGAGAGUGGAAUUCCUGGUGUAGCGGUGAAAUGCGCAGAUAUCAGGAAGAACACCCGUGGCGAAGGCGGCUCUCUGGGACGGUACUGACACUGAGACGCGAAAGCGUGGGGAGCGAACAGG
rnacentral:rRNA from 1 species